rnacentral:rRNA from 1 species
UACGUAGGUGGCAAGCGUUGUCCGGAUUUACUGGGCGUAAAGAGCGCGCAGGCGGUCGUACAAGUCGCGUGUGAAAGCCCCCGGCUCAACUGGGGAGGGUCACGCGAUACUGUUCGACUCGAAGGCAGGAGAGGGAAGCAGAAUUCCCGGUGUAGUGGUGAAAUGCGUAGAUAUCGGGAGGAAUACCAGUGGCGAAGGCGGCUUCCUGGCCUGUUUCUUGACGCUGAGGCGCGAAAGCUAGGGUAGCAAACGGGG